CCUACGGGUGGCUGCAGUCGAGAAUCUUUCUCAAUGGGCGAAACCCUGAUCCUGCGACGCCGCGUGGGGGAAUGAAGGUCUUCGGAUUGUAAACCCCUGUCAUGUGGGAGCAAAUUAAAAAGAUAGUACCAUAAUAGGAAGAGACGGCGAACACUGGUCGAGCAGCUGCGGUACAACAGAGGCGUCAAGCGUUGUUCGGAAUCACUGGGCGUAAAGCGUGCGUAGGAUGGUUCGUAAGUCUGGUGUGAAAGGCGGGGGCUCAACCCGCGGACUGCACAUGAUACUGGGAGACUAGAGUAAUGGAGGGGGAGCCGGAAUUCUCGGUGUAGCAGUGAAAUGCUUAGAUAUCGAGAAGAACACUCAUGGCGAAGGCAGGUUCCUGGACAUUAACUGACGCUGAGGCACGAAGGCCAGGGGAGCGAAAAGGAUUAGAUACCCUUGUAGUC
rnacentral:rRNA from 1 species